rnacentral:lncRNA from 1 species
UCCCAAUUUUUGCUCUAAGUUUCAACCAUAUAUAGGUGUUCUCCUUGAUGUCUUCAAUCAUUCCAGUAGGUGUUUUGUGUGCUCCCUUAAAAACCUUUUAAUUUCUGUUGAUCCAAAGCUUCUAGAAAACUAUAAAACUACCAUGUAAGUUGUUUUCCUCUUUUUUCUCAGCCAAUUCCCUUCUGCAAUUAGUAGAUGUGUUUCUCGAGUUUGCAAUGUAGUAACUAGAAGUGGAUGUGCGCGCGGCCUUACUCAUGCUUGUGGAUUUCGUCUAUGUUUAUGUUUAAAUAAAGUUGUAAACUUUUAAGACAAUGUUUCUUCCUAUCUCGCGAUGUAAACGCUAAACUUAUGUUUUCAAAUUAUGAAAUGUUUGGUAUUUGAAGUUAUUUUAUGAGCAUGUAGUAUGUUUACCUUCCGUGUGCAAUGAGAACCUUUCAUGAUCACACCUCGUGCUUCCGUCGCAAAAAGGGUGU